rnacentral:rRNA from 1 species
AUGGAAGCAAUGUUACCUUGUGUUAUUGGAAUGCUUAUAGGGAUGGGAAGAACAUGUGUGUUUGUUCAUCAUGGGGACAAGGACGCCUUUUUGAAAGGCAAUGUAGAACCGGACCCGGAUGAGGUUGACAUGGUGUUUGAUAGUAGUCCUAGCUAUGCGGAGCUCUUGCAACAAGUUAGGGAAGAUUUGAAUUGGACGGACCCUAGUGAUAUCAUAGAGUUGGAGGGAAGGCAUAAUGUUGGUUUUGGAAUGCACAUCCGUUGGAAGACAAUGCGUGUCAACUCGGAGCAACGUUGGGUUGCAUACAAGGAGACGGUGGCCGAAUCACUAGACAAGGCUCUUGAGUUAUUUGCAACGAAGAAGGUUGGUUCAAGUUUGCAUUUGGACUUGAACCGGAACCCCUCCCCUUUGGUUGCUAGUAGCCCCACACCCUUGAAGCGAGAUGAACUUGUUGAACCUCUUUUGACCCAAGAAGUGAGGCCAACAUGA